AGCUUUGCACAGUGGCAGUAUCGUAGCCAAUGAGGUUUAUCCGAGGCACGAUUAUUGCUAAUUGAAAACUAAAACACUAGCAAAUUCCAUAUCAGGUGCCACUCUCUCAUAUUGCAUAUAUUCAACUCGAGAUUUCUUCCCUAGAUGUUGUAGAGAAUUAUUUAGAGUGUUUCUUGUGUUUGGAUCAAAAC
ensembl:snRNA LOC120100495 U4 spliceosomal RNA